rnacentral:rRNA from 1 species
CCUACGGGAGGCAGCAGUGAGGAAUAUUGGUCAAUGGGCGCAAGCCUGAACCAGCCAUGCCGCGUGCAGGAUGAAGAUCUAUGGUGUGUAAACUGCUUUUAUACUGGAAGCGGUACAGUAGGAAUAAGGAUCGGCUAACUCCGUGCCAGCAGCCGCGGUAAUACGGAGGAUCCAAGCGUUAUCCGGAAUCAUUGGGUUUAAAGGGUCCGUAGGCGGUUUUAUAAGUCAGUGGUGAAAUCCGGUAGCUCAACUAUCGAACGGCCAUUGAUACUGUAGAACUUGAAUUAUUGUGAAGUAACUAGAAUAUGUAGUGUAGCGGUGAAAUGCUUAGAUAUUACAUGGAAUACCAAUUGCGAAGGCAGGUUACUAACAAUAAUUGACGCUGAUGGACGAAAGCGUGGGGAGCGAACAGGAUUAGAUACCCUUGUAGUC